rnacentral:rRNA from 1 species
CAUGCACGUCUAAGUACUCGCCUUGGUCUAUUUAAAGUGAAACCGCGAAUGGCUCAUUAAAUCAGUUAUGGUUCGCUAGACCGUACCACAUCCUACUCGGAUAACUGUGGUAAUUCUAGAGCUAAUACAUGCAACUAGGCCCCGCCCGGCCGCCCCGUCCGUCAAAACGACGGUCGGUCGGAAAGGGCGCCAUUAUCAGCUCAAAACCGACCGGGUCCGCCUGCGCCGUCCUCGUGACGGCCAGGCUCCCGUUCUCGUUGACCCUUUGACGACUCUGGAUAACCUCCUAGCGGAUCGCCGAUAAACAUUAGGUCGGCCGGGCGGCAACGUCCGCGUCCGACCUAACGGCGACUAGUCUUUCGAAUGUCUGCCUUAUCAACUGUCGACGGUAGGUUAGACGCCUACCGUGGUCGUAACGGGUGACGGGGAAUCAGGGUUCGAUUCCGGAGAGGGAGCCUGAGAAACGGCUACCACAUCCAAGGAAGGCAGCAGGCACGCAAAUUACCCAAUCCCCGAACGGGGAGGUAGUGACGAAAAAUAACGAUACGGGACUCUUAACGAGGCCUCGUAAUCGGAAUGAGUCCGCUCUAAAUCCUUUUAACGAGGAUCUAUCGGAGGACAAGUCUGGUGCCAGCAGCCGGGUAUUCCAGCUUCCGAUAGCGUAUAUUAAAGUUGCUGCGGUUAAAAAGCUCGUAGUUGGAUUUGGGUUUUCGGGCCGGCGGGCCGCCGCCUUCGAGCGGCGCGUCUCCCGCCGCGCCCCCGGAACCGCACGGUCGCAGAGGCCCCCGCGGUGCUCUUCAAUGAGUGUCCGCCGGUUCGGGUCGCCGAACGUUUACUUUGAAAAAAUUAGAGUGCUCCAGGCAGGCCGGUAAAGCGUUGUUUAUAAAAAAGACCCGCGCCUGAAUAGUCACGCAUGGAAUAAUGAAAGAGGACCGGUGGUCCUAUUUUGUUGGUUUUCGGGAUUUUCCGCCGUCAUGAUUAAGAGGGACGGCCGGGGGCAUUCGUACCGCGGCGCGAGAGGUGAAAUUCUAGGACCGCCGCGAGACGAACCGUUGCGAAAGCAUUUGCCAAGAAUGUUUUCCUUAAUCAAGAACGAAAGUCAGAGGUUCGAAGGCGAUCAGAUACCGCCCUAGUUCUGACCGUAAACGAUGCCACCUGACGAUCCGCCAGGGUUACUACCAUGACUCGGCGGGCAGCCCCCGGGAAACCCAAGCCUUCGGGUUCCGGGGGAAGUAUGGUUGCAAAGCUGAAACUUAAAGGAAUUGACGGAAGGGCACCACCAGGAGUGGAGCCUGCGGCUUAAUUUGACUCAACACGGGGAACCUCACCCGGCCCGGACACCGCGAGGAUUGACAGAUUGAGAGCUCUUUCUCGAUUCGGUGGGUGGUGGUG